GACUCAGUUACUGAGCCAUUCCCUGGGAAUAACAUCUUGACUAAACAUAAUCUUUAUCUUCAAGGACCUCUCAUUAUUCAGUGGAGUAAAGACACGGGGAAAUGGGGAAUUUUCAUGCAGUCGUUAGAGUUUCUUCUAGAUAAAAUUGGCACUGAGUUUAUACUCAAAUGAGAAGGCUGAAAGGAGUGAGGAAGUGUCAUAGCAACCUAGCAAAUGCUGAUUCUAGAAAAAGCCAACUUAAAAAAAGCACAAAAGCUUUGCAUUAUUUUUACUUGCCCUUGCCUCCCACCUACCCCGACUCAAUGACAGUUUUGAAGCCAGCAGACUGCAUUCUCAAUAAAAGACCCUGGUUCCUGGUUCCGGAAAGGGCAGAGUAGUAGAACUUAUUCUUAAACAUAAAUAUUAUUACUUUGUUUGGUAGUUUUGUCCUGUCGUGUAGCUUCCUGG